rnacentral:snoRNA from 13 species
AAGAUCAUACUUUUAGGGAUCAUUUCUAAAGUAUGUCUUGCCGAGACGUCGAGUAAAAUCGAUCGGCACGUAAACCACGAUGACGAGAUUGCGUCAGUUCCUCUGAGCGUGAAGUUGAGGCUGGCAUGACUACUGCUCUCGUAGUCAGGCCGUGUCUCGUUGAGGAUCGUUCCUUUCCUCCCUCAGUGGGGACAAGGAGGGGGAACUGGCAAUCAGAGUGGU